GGCCAGACUCCUACGGGAGGCAGCAGUGAGGAAUAUUGGUCAAUGGACGGAAGUCUGAACCAGCCAUGCCGCGUGCAGGAAGACGGCUCUAUGAGUUGUAAACUGCUUUUGUACAAGGGUAAACCUGAAUACGUGUAUUCAGCUGAAAGUACUGUACGAAUAAGGAUCGGCUAACUACGUGCCAGCAGCCGCGGUAAUACGUAGGGAGCAAGCGUUGUCCGGAUUUACUGGGUGUAAAGGGUGCGUAGGCGGCUUUGCAAGUCAGAAGUGAAAUCCAUGGGCUUAACCCAUGAACUGCUUUUGAAACUGCAGAGCUUGAGUGGAGUAGAGGUAGGCGGAAUUCCCGGUGUAGCGGUGAAAUGCGUAGAGAUCGGGAGGAACACCAGUGGCGAAGGCGGCCUACUGGGCGCUAACUGACGCUGAGGCACGAAAGCGUGGGUAGCAAACAGGAUUAGAUACCCCGGUAUCU
rnacentral:rRNA from 1 species